rnacentral:misc_RNA from 1 species
CAGGACAAGAAUGGCAGUUCUAAGGAAACUGACGUUGUCAUGGUUGAAGCAACGGGAUCAUCUGCUUCUGGGCAGUCAUCUAAUACUACAUCUGAAGCUGGUUCAUCUGCGAAAAAAACGCAGCUAACUGGAAUUUAUGACCUGGUUGCCGUUUUGACUCACAAGGGAAGGAGUGCUGGCUCUUGCCCUGUGCCAGUCACCUCCACCAGAAAGUUUGGUGAUAUCCUCCUCUCUUUGUGGAAUGGGAUUGUCAUCAUCA